rnacentral:rRNA from 1 species
AGGACGAACGCUGGCGGCGUGCCUAACACAUGCAAGUCGAACGAGGUCCACUUGGUGGCAACACCGGGGAAGACCUAGUGGCGAACGGGUGAGUAACACGUGAGCAACCUGCCCCGAAGUCUGGGAUAACACCGGGAAACCGGUGCUAAUACCGGAUAUCCCCAUCAGGUCGCAUGGCCAGGUGAGGAAAUGGGUUUCCGCUUCGGGAGGGGCUCGCGGCCUAUCAGCUAGUUGGUGAGGUAAAGGCCCACCAAGGCGACGAUCGGUAGCUGGUCUGAGAGGAUGAUCAGCCACACUGGGACUGAGACACGGCCCAGACUCCUACGGGAGGCAGC